rnacentral:rRNA from 1 species
AUUGAACGCUGGCGGCAAGCCUAGCACAUGCAAGUCGCGCGGGGUGUAGCAAUACACUUAGCGGCGGACGGGUGAGGAAUACAUAGGAAUUUGCCUUUAGGUGGGGGGUAGCCCAGGGAAACUUGGAAUAAUACCGCAUGAUGUCGUGAGAACAAAGCCGGGGAUCGCAAGACCUGGCGCCUUUAGAGAAGCCUAUGUCUGAUUAGCUAGUUGGUAGGGUAACGGCCUACCAAGGCAACGAUCAGUAGCUGGUCUGAGAGGACGAUACGCCAACCCGGAACUGGGACACGGUCCGGACACCUACGGGUGGCAGCAGUGGGGAAUUUUGGACAAUGGGCGCAAGCCUGAUCCAGCAAUGCCGCGUGUGUGAAGAAGGCCUUCGGGUUGUAAAGCACUUUAAGCUGGGAAGAAAAAAUCGGAGCUAACAUCUCCGGUCUUGACGGUACCAGAAGAAUAAGCAACGGCUAACUCUGUGCCAGCAGCCGCCGUAACAC